GGGGAUUUAGCUCAGUGGUAGAGCACUUGCCUUGCAAGCACAAGGCCCUGGGUUCCGUCCCCAGCUCCG
rnacentral:tRNA from 1 species